UGCCUAACCCUCGUGAAUUAAAAACUCCGAGGUAUGGCAGAAAAAACCCGCUACAGGAUAAAGAGCUCGUCGUCAGCUCACCUGUAGCGGGUCAUAUCCGAAAGGAUAUGGGUAGCCGAAAGGUUAUC
rnacentral:sRNA from 1 species